GACCUCGCCUGGUCGGUUUCUAGGAGCUUGGCAAGCUGAAGUCAUGCCAGCCUGACGGGUCACUUGUUUCCCAUCUGUCCUCACGCUGGACAGAGGACAUGAGAUGAACAGAACACCCUGAAAUGUUUACGGUCCAAGACGUCGCCAGCAGCGCCGGCUUGGGUCACUGAGCUGCGCUUCCACCGUGUGCAUCGGGGCGGCGGCGACAAAGGCCCCGGGGGUUGGACCCGGCGACGGGCGAGACGCGUCCCUGAGCUUGUGCUGUGUCUGCCGACCCGGCCGGGGACGCGAUGUGGAGAGGCCAUCCCCGGGGGACCCCCACUCCAGUGGCGGGGGCACACGAAAACUUGGGCACAUUUCUGUCACCUGGACACCCGCCCGGAGCGGAUGAUUAGAUGAGCACAAGACAGCGGCCCGAAGCGCAGCAGACAAAGGGAGUGAAGGGGGGCUCUCGGCGGGACGCCAGCGGGGACAAGGCCGGGCACCUCAGGGCCCGGAGCAGGAGGCCAGCAGGGGGUCUGCCGCUCGUCUCCACGGCUGUCCGGGUGGGACACGCGCCUGGGAUUGCAUCCUGCCGGCUGGUAGAAAGUCUGGAGGCUUGCUGGAAUUCUGCUUGGAUUUGGAGGCCAGAAUAUUCUGCAGGUGGGUGAGGUGCCUUGGGCUGGUCUCGGGCAGGAGGUUCAGGGCAGCUGCUUGAACAGAUGCUCUCAAUUUAGUCCUGCGUUCUAAAGUUCCUUGUGGCUAGAUCCAUUAUUUAAUGUCAGGGACGUGAAAACUUGAGGAUUCCUUCUGUAUUUGUUAGCAGAAACUGCUCCGUAAAGAACUUGCCCUCACUAACUAUUGGUUUACAGUGAAAUUCAGUCUGUACAGGAGAGGUCGGAUAUAUCCUUGAUUCUUUCACGGGUUUUUGGAAUAGUUACUAUUGGGCAGGUCUUUGCUUCUAGGUCUUUCCAGUGGGGACAGUUAGGAUGUAUAUAUUUUAAGGGGAAGAUAGACAUGGGUUUACACUGCUAUUUCCAAUUCAAAUUCAGGACCAUCAGCCUCUAACCUCUUUGAUUUUAUAUUUGUGUCUCUUUUAUGCAGAAAAUCUUGGUUCCCAAUGACAUUAACAUACAUUCACAUUGUGUGUGUGUGUGUGUGUGUGUGUGUGUGUGUGUGUGUGUGUGGUCUCAAAUAACAACAUGGAUAACAAAUUUAAGAUUUUUUUUUGGCAGAUGUUUCUGUUCUGGUUUUACUACUGUGUUGUUCAAUAGCUCCAGGCCAUUCUCUUUUUGAUUAUGUUAGCAACCUGGUAUAUGGUUAAAUUCAUUUGUUGCUCCUCAUCUCCAUUUGUAUUCCAUUUUGUUUUAUGAUUAUGUAAAACAUUUAUAUGGUUCCAAAGUCAAAAUAGCCCCUAGCCAUAAUCCUUCUGCCAGCAUGGGGCCUAGCACAUCAAAGGCACUCUAGUGUUCACUGACUUUUUUCACCUGGGUAUAUGAUCAUUCUAUUCUAAGUCAUUCAAGGGGGUAGACAGCUCGAACCAAGAAAACCAAAGGCAUGUAAGGACCAUAAUUUGCCCCCAAGUUCAGCCAAGCAGAGAGCCAGACAUGGGGCUUGAUCCCAGAACCUUGAGAUCAAGACCUGAGCUGAAGGCAGACGCUUAACCAAUUG
rnacentral:lncRNA from 12 species